rnacentral:rRNA from 1 species
AACGAACGCUGGCGGCAGGCUUAACACAUGCAAGUCGAGCGCCCCGCAAGGGGAGCGGCAGACGGGUGAGUAACGCGUGGGAAUCUACCCAUCUCUACGGAAUAACGCAUGGAAACGUGUGCUAAUACCGUAUCCGUCCUUCGGGAGAAAGAUUUAUCGGAGAUGGAUGAGCCCGCGUUGGAUUAGCUAGUUGGUGGGGUAAAGGCCUACCAAGGCGACGAUCCAUAGCUGGUCUGAGAGGAUGAUCAGCCACACUGGGACUGAGACACCGCCCAGACUCCUACGGGAGGCAGCAGUGGGUAAUAUUGGACAAUGGGCGCAAGCCUGAUCCAGCCAUGCCGCGUGAGUGAUGAAGGCCCUAGGGUUGUAAAGCUCUUUCACCGGUGAAGAUAAUGACGGUAACCGGAGAAGAAGCCCCGGCUAACUUCGUGCCAGCCGCCGCGGUAACAC